AAACGGUCAGGGUUCCCGAUCAAGGUCGGGAUGAAAAGGGAAUCGUGUGAAAAUCACGAGCUGACGCGCAACUGUAAGUAACACAAUGGUUUUUGCCUCACAAUGUCCAUUGUCCGCCAGCUGGCGGAUGAGAAGGACGGCAGAAAUGUUACAAGCCAGGAGACCUGCCAUUUCCGA
rnacentral:ncRNA from 1 species